rnacentral:rRNA from 1 species
ACGGGUGCGUAACGCGUGGGAAUCUGCCCUUAGGUUCGGAAUAACAGCUGGAAACGGCUGCUAAUACCGGAUGAUGGCGAAAGUCCAAAGAUUUAUUGCCUGAGGAUGAGCCCGCGUUGGAUUAGGUAGUUGGUGGGGUAAAGGCCUACCAAGCCGACGAUCCAUAGCUGGUCUGAGAGGAUGAUCAGCCACACUGGGACUGAGACACGGCCCAGACUCCUACGGGAGGCAGCAGUGGGGAAUAUUGGACAAUGGGCGAAAGCCUGAUCCAGCAAUGCCGCGUGAGUGAUGAAGGCCCUAGGGUUGUAAAGCUCUUUUACCCGGGAAGAUAAUGACUGUACCGGGAGAAUAAGCCCCGGCUAACUCCGUGCCAGCAGCCGCGGUAAUACGGAGGGGGCUAGCGUUGUUCGGAAUUACUGGGCGUAAAGCGCACGUAGGCGGCUUUGUAAGUCAGAGGUGAAAGCCUGGAGCUCAACUCCAGAACUGCCUUUGAGACUGCAUCGCUUGAAUCCAGGAGAGGUCAGUGGAAUUCCGAGUGUAGAGGUGAAAUUCGUAGA